rnacentral:rRNA from 1 species
GCGAGCGUUAGUUUACUGUUUAUCUGUGAAACUGCGAAUGGCUCUUAAUCAGUUACCGUUCCUCUGAUAUUCUUUUUUUCCUGGAUUACUGUGGUUUUUCAAAACUAAUACCUGACCAAGUGUUCCGACCUCAGCUUGGGGAGUGAUUGAUCGCUUUUAUUACUACGCCACUCAUGAUUCUUAUUCACCUCAAACCCUGUUCACUGAUUUCAGUCCCUUUCUCCGGACAUGCUUUGGGGAUCUUUCCGCCUUCGGUUGCAUUUCUUGUGAUGACUCUGAAUAACUGAGUGAAUCGUAUGGCCUCUGAACCGACGAUGUAUCCCUCAAACGGAUGCCUUAACAACUGUCCAUGGUACGUUAAGCGCCUACCAUGGUUGUAACGGGUAUCCCGGAAUUAGGGUUCAAUUCCGGAAAGGGAUCCUGAGAAGCUGCUACCACUUCCAUAGAUGGCAUCAGGCCCGCUUAUUACCCUUUCCCAGUACCGGGAUGUAGUGACGACAGGACCCCACAACCGAACUCUAUUGAGGCCCCGUAAUUGGAAUGAGUACAAUUUAAAUCCUUUAACGAGGAUCUAUUGGAGGGCAAGUCUGGGGC